rnacentral:rRNA from 2 species
GGCGACGACGGGUAGCCGGCCUGAGAGGGCGACCGGCCACACUGGGACUGAGACACGGCCCAGACUCCUACGGGAGGCAGCAGUGGGGAAUAUUGCACAAUGGGCGCAAGCCUGAUGCAGCGACGCCGCGUGAGGGAUGACGGCCUUCGGGUUGUAAACCUCUUUCACCAGGGACGAAGCGAAAGUGACGGUACCUGGAGAAGAAGCACCGGCCAACUACGUGCCAGCAGCCGCGGUAAUACGUAGGGUGCGAGCGUUGUCCGGAAUUACUGGGCGUAAAGAGCUCGUAGGCGGUUUGUCGCGUCGUUCGUGAAAACUUGGGGCUUAACUCCAAGCGUGCGGGCGAUACGGGCAGACUUGAGUACUACAGGGGAGACUGGAAUUCCUGGUGUAGCGGUGA